CCCGCUGAACUUAAGCAUAUCAAUAAGCGGAGGAAAAGAAACUAACAAGGAUUCCCCUAGUAACUGCGAGUGAAGCGGGAAAAGCUCAAAUUUAAAAUCUGGCAGUUUUCCAGCUGUCCGAGUUGUAAUCUAGAGAAGCAAUAUCCGCGUCAGACCGUGUACAAGUCUUCUGGAAUGGAGCAUCACAGAGGGUGAGAAUCCCGUCUUUGACACGGACUACUGAGGCUUUUGUGAUAUGCUCUCAACGAGUCGAGUUGUUUGGGAAUGCAGCUCUAAAUGGGUGGUAAAUUCCAUCUAAAGCUAAAUAUUGGCAAGAGACCGAUAGUGAACAAGUACCGUGAGGGAAAGAUGAAAAGAACUUUGGAAAGAGAGUUAAACAGUAUGUGAAAUUGUUGAAAGGGAAACGCUUGAAGUCCAGUCACAUUUGUCAGAAAUCAACCUUGUCCUUUUUCACUUGGUGUACUUUCUGAUAAAUGGGUCAGCAUCAAUUUUGAUCAGUGGAAAAAGAUUGAGAGAAUGUAGCAUCUUUGGAUGUGUUAUAGCUUUUGAUUUUAUACAUUGAUUGGGAUUGAGGAAUACAGCAGCAUGCCUUUAUUGGCCAGGUUUUUUUUUAUUAAAAAACCAUGUCUCAUGCUUAGGAUGCU
rnacentral:rRNA from 1 species